UACGGAGGGGGCGAGCGUUGUUCGGAAUUACUGGGCGUAAAGGGCGCGUAGGCGGCUUGAUAAGCGUGCGGUGAAAGCCCGGGGCUCAACCCCGGGUCGGCCGUGCGAACUGUCGAGCUGGAGCACUGUAGAGGCAGGUGGAAUUCCGGGUGUAGCGGUGGAAUGCGUAGAGAUCCGGAAGAACACCGGUGGCGAAGGCGGCCUGCUGGGCAGUGGCUGACGCUGAGGCGCGACAGCGUGGGGAGCAAACAGG
rnacentral:rRNA from 1 species